GGCUGCUUUAGCAAUGCAGGAAAAUAUGAAUUACUGUUGUCUGCAAUUUGUGAGUUAAAGAAACUGAUGCUACAUUGCUCACCAGGAUUCCUAAAUAAUGAAUUGUUCUGUAGACCAUGAGGAUCAUUUAUCAAAGACUAGAAGGGUGGCAAAACACUCAAAUGACACAAAUUGCAAUUGACCCCAAUAUCAUUGAGUGACACGCAUAAUCAAUGUUCA